UUUGACUUGUCUCAGUUACUUUGGAUCAGACCAGGACUGACUGUAGCUCCUCUGAAGAUCUGAGGGUGACUUUCCAAAGCAGGGACAGUGGCCCUUUGCUGCUCAGCAUGUGCAGCAUUGCCAGAUGCUGUAUGCAGAACACCGAAGUGCAGUAUGCUACAACAACACUGAGAAGCACGAUGCAUACCCCAGUUGUGGUCCUGUCACCAUUCCAAGAAGAAAGGCUGCUGGGUGAGCAGAGAAAAAUGAGAAGGCAGAAUCUGGCUUUAGCAUCUAGUGGAUACAACAACAAAAGUUUAUGAGAACUUUUUCUGUACUACAUCACUGAAAUCUGGAAAACAGCCCAUUACCUGAAGAGCUCAAAAUAAGAUCAACGUAGACCAAAAGGAGGGCAAAUGUAGAGGGACAGAGUAAAUUUAUUUUUAAAUGAAUGUGCAUAAACGCAAAAACACAUUCCCAUUCUGCAUUGGUUUCUUAUGAUUACUUCGGUGCCGCCUCUUCCCUGUUGGAGGAUCAGAACCCAAGUUCUCUGCCGCAGUCCCAUCCAGUUGUGCGGCACACACACAGGGUGCCCAGCUCUAGGGAAGAAAAAUCACCCCUUGCCAUCCUCUCCCUGGAGCUCUGUUCAAACACAGGUGAGGGGAGAAGAGCUUUCUCCUUUGUGCAGCGUACACAAUUGCCAUUUACUACAGUCACCCAAUGAACACCAACAACGGACAAGGUAAACGAUCUAGAGAAUCAGAAACAGCAAGUGAAUGGAUCAGAUGAAGGACUUGACCACUGAAUUGCUGAUGCUACACCACACAUGAAAGCAGUGAAACAAAUGGGAUCAGCAGAAGGAAGCCCUUCUUUUCAUCUCUCAGUGAGUACGUCUUUCCUUUGCUUCUCUCAGCAGCAAAUUGGCAAGGUUCUUCUGAGACGUGGUGGCAUCAGCUUUGUGUGGAUAAAGACUAUAUCUAAGGUUUAUUGCUUUGCCUACAGCUUCCAGUAAUAUCAGUUCUCAUUGCCAGGCUAAGAACUUCAAAGAUGCGUUUGAAUUUAGGAGCAGAACUUGGGUAUCAGUGUGGGAUGAAUCAUCCCCGCUAGCCUAUGGACCUCUCAGGAAGCUCACUGCAAACUGUAAGUGUUUAGAAUAUUCAGUAAAAUGCUCCCUUUAUUUCAACACUUAGGCAGCAGCAGAGAAGCUUUGUGUUAAGUAACAGGCUUUGGAAAUGUUAAACUCCUUCUUGUAUUGUUUAAUUCACAGUCAAAGUCUGCUAUGCUAUUUUAAUUUCAGUUAUUUUUGAAAAAGUUAAGCUUCUGUUCUGCUAAUGACCAAACUCGUUUAGCAAAAAUAGCUUUUUAAUAUGGGACAAUGGACUCUUGAGAGACUACAAUCGGUAGUGUUGCUAAAACUACUUGUACUAAGAAGUGGGUCUCCAAAUGCAGAGUCGCAAGGUAAAAGAGAAAUUGCAGCACAUAACAAUACAAGAAUUAAGUCUUUAGAGCCAAAGACAUAUUAUUUUUAGCAUCAAAACAUCUUAUUAGGCUAUUAAAGAAGAGCUUUGCGCUUUGUCAACAGCUGUUUUGGGUCAUGCAUAUAAAUAUUUCCAAGCAAUUUAUGGCCAGACAACACACUCUGACUUUGUUUAGGGAUUUAGUAUUUCAACUAUUUGUUAAAUGUCGACUUCUACAGCAAAUAAAAUUUAACAACCCACAUGGAGAAUUGUUUACAAAAGAUUAUUCUGGCAAAUGGUACUGUGUAUCUGAAAUGUUUCAUGAUAAUCACAACAUGUUUUCAAGGUCUGUAUUCACUAUGACAGUUAUGUUGCAAAUUCUAUAAUAAGUUUAGAUAAUAGCACAUACUUCUGUUAUCUGUGCUCAUGCCUUCUGUUUCCACCUUCUAAUUUUUAUGCCUGUUGCCAAUUUCUAAAUACCUGUCAUUAGUGUAAGUCUUCCAGGCUAGUAUUCUUUACUUUGAUUCGCAAAUCCCUAUAUUUUCUUGUAUGGGAACAGUCCUCUAACUAGUAAACACACACUACUGACAACAGAUCGGGUUUUUCUGGAGUUAUUUUUUGUGUGCCUCUCUGGAGAUCUGCAAAUGAUGUGUUGAAAAACAUUCUCCCAAGUCUCUAAUGUGUCUCGUGGAAAGCAAACAGUUUAUAAAUAAUGUACUUAAAGUUUAGUAUCUGUCACUCAAUUUAACUUGCAGCAAUAUGCCAUGUCUCUGAGCACAGGUACUUGUAUAACUGAUGAGAAAUGAUGAUUCCAAUGCUAGCAAGGUUACUGAUCAGUAUUCUUCAGUGUGAAUGAAGGUGGUGCAGCUGUAGGCCAGGUCGUAGAGAGGAGACCUCAUGAUAUGUCUGCCUAGAUCUCCAAUAACAAGCUGUCCCCAAAAGACUGGAGCUGUCAACUCAAAAGAGUCAGAGUUCCUUUAAAUGAAAACUAGAAAUUUGAUCUUUUUAAAUACAGAAAACUCAUCACAUGGUCAAUUAGAAGUGAAAAGAUUUGUACACAAUUGUCCCACAGAAAGAGUGCCUUUGUAGGCAAGCCUUUGUUCCAGUUCUGAUUUUACCCAACUCAGUGCAUGCCUGAGAUACAACAAACUCUGCCCAGUCUCCCUUGGUCCCUGAGCAGUUUUUCUACCAUUGUUAAUACACAGCAAGCUGCUGCUUGCUCCUCAACUUUGUACAUCCUGCAGGACAAAUAGCUCCCAAUGGGAAGAAAGUGUUGCCUUUCGUAUGGCUCUAUCUCCAGUUUCCACAGCCUCCUUAAAGAAACAUAAAAAACUGUAAACAAAAAUGGAUGACUGACUUUUCUUUUUGUUAUAUUUUUAACUUUCACUUCCACAAGCUAAAAAACUUGGUUUCAAGUUUUUGACAGUAACAAAAACCCACCCAUUUCCUUGAUACAUGUCAGGAAAAAACUUUGCUGCCAACUUUUUCAUCAAGACACAAUGUACCUCUAAGAAUAGACUUCACCCUGGUUUCUCCUUACUUUAAA